CUUCUAGAUUGCAACCCCACGCCCCUUUUCGUUUGCUCGAUCACAAGCCCCCCACAUCUCCUUUCGUCUGCUCGAUCGCAAACCACCACAAUAGGUUCAUCGCCGCCACCGUUGAAGAAAUCGUGUUCAUCCGCCGCUGCCGGUGAAGACAUUGUGUUCGUCCACCAUCAUUCAGAACAGGUUCGUCUGCAAUAGUUCAUCCGCUGCCGUAACAGUUCAUCCACCGCUACAACAGUUCGUCUGCCACCGCAACAAGUUCGUUGCCACAAUAGGUUCGUUUGCUGCAACAGGUUCGUCUGCCACAAGCUGCCGCCGCUCAAGCCCUUUUUCAAUUUGUUUUCGCCCUUUUAAGAAGCUCUUCCGUCGCCUUCCUUCCCUAUCCAUAUGAGAGCCUUCAUGGAAGUCUCAGCUGAUGAUCGUCUUAAUUUUGGGAAGAUGGGUUAUGGAUGCCAGCAUUACCGUAGGAGAUGUAAGAUUCGAGCCCCUUGCUAUAAUGAAAUCUACCCCUGUCGCCUUUGUCAUAACGAAGCUAAGAGUGUGAUGAGCAGACUCUCUGAUCGUCAUUAGCUCAAUUGUUUUGACGUUAAACAAGUCGUCUGUGCAGUCUGUGACACGGAGCAGCCAGUAUGGAAAUGUUAUUUUUAUCAUUUUAUUAAUAUUAAGUUUUAUACUUUUAUGUGUGCUUAAAUGAUCAUUAGUUCCUAAACGUGUUUUGGUUAGGAUUUGGUUAACUUAUUAGCUUUGUCUCAUGUUUAACUUGUAUUGUAUUUAAGCUUAUUAGCUCUUGAAGUUGUGCUCCGCUGGUUAGGAUUUUCCCUUUGUUUUCUCAUGUAUACAGCUUGACAAUGUGCUCAAGUUAUGCUCUGCCAUUAUGCAACCUCUGAUGCCAAAAGCUCUUUGGGUUUAUUUCGAGUUUUUAAUAAAUUCCACACAUCUUUAUUUUCCUUCUAAUGUUAGACUCUGGGGCUUUAUUUCGAGUAGGAUUCUCAUCUUAAGCCUCAUCGUCGCUCCUUUUCUGCAAUGAUGCCAUCAUCGUUCAACUGGGUUCAUGUUCUUCAGAGUUUAGGAGGCUUUGGAGAAGAAGAAGGUAACUUCGCUUCUUCUUGUUUAUGAGUUAAUAUUUGUGGGAAAGGUUAUUAAGAAGAAGAAUAAAAGGGAAAUAGUUUGGGAGAAUAAAAGGUUAUUAAAAAUGUCUUAUAGUAGUAUAUGGUCAAGGGUCUUAUGCUUCAACAUGAUUUCAUUUCAUAUAUAUUAUUUCCUAAAUCUUCUUCAAGGUUGCUGGGAUCUACAACUUUGGCCAAGAUGAUCUACAACAUUCUUUGUUUGGGUUGGUCAGCAGGUUGACCUUAAGCAUUAUCUGUUUUAUGAUAUUUGACUGAUUUGGAUAUUAUAUUGUUGGGAAUCAAUGGAUAGGUUAUCUUCAUUUUUCCUUUGAGCUCUAACUUAUUCUUUUGAAAUUUUGAAAUUUUAGGCACAAUCUCACUAAAUUUGUGAAACAUGCUUCCAGGAAAGGAAUUUCUAUUGAUGAAAUAAAUCUUAGUUCAAGAGGACAUGGAAAGGUUCGUAUUGUAGCAUAGACAUGUAUAUUUUGUUUAUAUAAUUAAACAUAGAUGAAAAGUUUGGGAUUGUUAGAAGUUUGGGCUACACAUAUAUGUUGUAAUUAAGUAUGUAAUGGCCAACUUAUAUAUGGUUCAUUGAUAUAUAUAUAUGCAAUUUCUUUGAUGGAAA